UAGGAGGCUAGGCACAUCCAGGCGCUAUACCGAACUACACGCAAUUGUUUCUUCGGCGCGCGCUUCGGCGCCGCCGAGGACACUUAAACUCUUUGUUUUUAUAAGCAUUUCUGAGUGGCCGAAAGGCAAAAAUACAAAUGAAUCAAAACUUUCAACAACGGAUCUCUUGGUUCUGGCAUCGAUGAAGAACGCAGCGAAAUGCGAUAAGUAAUGUGAAUUGCAGAAUUCAGUGAAUCAUCGAAUCUUUGAACGCACAUUGCGCCCGCCAGCAUUCUGGCGGGCAUGCCUGUUCGAGCGUCAUUUCAACCCUCGAGCCCGACUCUUCGGAGGACGGCUCGGCGUUGGGGGACGGCAGACUCCCCCCGGCAUCUCGCCGGGGACGCCGCCCCCGAAAUUUAGUGGCGGCCCUCCGAGGCGACCUCUGCGUAGUAACUUGUUCUCGCACCGGAAAGCUCAGAGCGGCCACGCCGUAAAACCCCAACUUUUUUUAGG
rnacentral:sRNA from 1 species